UGGCGACGAGUGGCGAACGGGUGAGUAAUGCAUCGGAACGUAUCCAUUUGUGGGGGAUAGCCCGGCGAAAGCCGGAUUAAUACCGCAUAAUCCCUGAGGAGGAAAGUGGGGGACCUUCGGGCCUUACGCUGAUGGAGCGGCUGAUGUCGGAUUAGCUUGUUAGUGGGGUAAAGGCCUACCAAGGCGACGAUCCAUAGCUGGUCUGAGAGGACGAUCAGCCACACUGGGACUGAGACACGGCCCAGACUCC
rnacentral:rRNA from 1 species